AAGUCAUAACUUUUUUGAACAAAAUUAGUCAAACCAUAGAACUCUUGAACUUACAGAAAAGGGCUUUCGAUUUCUUAGAAAUAGAUACAUGAAGAGUUUUGUUAUAUGUUUGUUUUUGUCAAAAGAGUAACAUGAGCAGCUUAGACAAGCAAUUAGAAUGAAAUACAACUGGGCUGAGAAGCUGAGUAGAACUAGAAUUAUGUACAACCUCUUGCUAGGAUAAUUGGGUUGGACUUGUAAUGAUAGAGUUCUCCGUUGGAGUUAGGUGGCCCAAAAAGAUUGUGCUGUUUGAAUAGCUGGUCCUCUAAUUUAGGAAGAGGCAGCCGAAUUUGCAACGCUGGGUGGCUGGGCCCAUAGAAAAUAUUCUUGUCAGAAGAUUGUGAAAGUAUGUUCCUUAGUCCGCAAGGUUUGAGGCCUCUUUGAGUGGGCUUCUAGAGUCGGUUAGACAAUUGGGCCUUUCAAAGGAUUUCCUAAAUUUACAAUUUUUUUAGCCCAACAUGAAUUUUUAUAAAAUGCUAUAUUUAUACGUGAGUUUCAUAUUCAAGCUAAACAUACCCAUUUUGAUUGGAAAAAAAGGGAAAGAACAUGGGGCCUUUUUUCCACCCUUAAUCUUAUCACUACUUUUAAUUUUAUUUUAUUAGUUAAUGGUUUGUAUUUCACAGGUUAUGAUUGGAGGAGGCGCUGACACUACAUCUGGUACUUUAACAUGGGCAGUCUCACUUUUAUUGAACAAUCCACACAUAUUAAGAAAAGCUCAAGAAGAAUUGGAUGCUCAUGUUGGUAAAGAAAGACUAGUAAAUGAAAUGGAUAUAAGCAAGUUGGUUUACCUUCAAGCAAUUGUUAAAGAGACAUUGAGGUUAAAUCCAAUAGCCCCACUUUCAGGACCGCGUCAAUUCAUCCAAGAUUCUAUUUUAGGUGGUUACCAUAUCUCAAAAGGCACUCGUCUUAUAUUGAACCUUACCAAGAUUCAAAGAGACCCGAGAGUAUGGUUGAACCCAAUGGAGUUCCAACCAGAUAGAUUCCUCACCACCCACAAAGAUGUUGAUGUUAGAGGUAAACAUUUUGAGUUGACACCAUUUGGUGGUGGAAGAAGAAUUUGCCCUGGAAUAGUUUUUGCCCUUCAAGUGCUACACUUAACAUUAGCCAACUUCCUGCAUAGAUUUCAACUUUCAACUCCAUCAGAUGCACCGGUUGAUAUGAGCGAGGGUUUUGGAUUAACAAACAUCAAAUCCACUCCACUUGAAGUUCUUAUCUCCCCACGCUUAGCUUCUUAUGAUCUUUAUGAGUAGAAUUUGAGGUCGCUAAGAGACUUAUUUCAAAAAACCUAGUACUAUGAAAUGUGAAAUAAAAAUAAAUUUCAUAGCAUAAGUUUAGUAUUAUUUUAAAAUAGUUACUAAUGUCUGUCCUUUAAUAUUGUCUUAGCUUGAAUUUAAUGAAAAAUAUUUUCGACACUUAUUUUGUGUGGACAAGUAAUGACCCAAUUUCUUGUUAUGUUUCUUCAUUCUUCCAUGAAAGAGAAUUUAGAAGAAAAAGUGGCAUAUAGCAUUACAAUUGAAAAAUUAAUAAGCAUGUACUCCAUAUGCAUAGUAGACUUAAUGAGUUUCCAAGUUGAUUAAUUGGUAUCUCCUUUUGAUAGAUUUCAGCCACCUUUUUGUACAUGAUUAAAGUAGUAAUGGAGACUAAAAUUACAACUCCCAUUUCAUUGUAAAAAGUUGGGAUGUGCAAGGUGGGUCAGUUCAAUUUUGGGCAUUAAAAUCAAAUCGAAUUGAACCCAAAAGAGGAAAAUGAUUAGUUUGACUUGAUUAACAAUAAUCUAAGUUGGUUUAUUUUGCUUCUAUUUAUAACAUCAAUUUUUUUUUUUAAUUUGAACGAAAAUAAUAUUAUUGAAGCAAGUCAUCUUUGGACGGUUGAAAUGAUAUUAUUACAACUAAUUUCAAAUCAUAUUAUUAUAACUUAAUGAUGUGAAUAGGUAUUAUUGUAACCCAUGUCAAUCAUAUCAAAUAGUCCAAGUCAUAGAUAAAAGUUAUAAAGGUGUGAUUGGGAGUUCCAUCCAAUGUGAAAAAUGUAUACCCAAUUAAUGAUGUAACCAAUUGUUAUACUGUAUAUUAUUACUGUGUGUAUAACUUUCAAUUCAAUUCAGUUUGGUUCAUUAAUUUUUUUAAUAGGUAAUUGAAUUGGUAUAACUUGGUUUUAUAUUUAAAAAACCAAAUUUAUUAAAAAAUAAAAUCUUAAAAAAUUAAUAGAUUUGGGUCAAUUUCAUUGAUUUUGCCAAUUGUACACCCUAAAAGAAGGGAUGUCCACUUAUCAUCCAUAAACUUUGUGUACUCCUAAGUUACAAUUUUGCCCCAUGUGAUUCACAUUUGUACUUAUUAUACUCAAUUUUCCGUACAAAUGAUUUAUUAUUUUGCAGAAUUUUACUCCAUGAGAUUCACAUUUGUACUUAUUAUUACCAACUUUGUCUGCUCUUAAGUUACAAUUUCUCCUAAUUAGAUUCACAUGCGUUACUGCCAUAAUUGACUUUCCACAUUUAUGCAUGAAUUAUUAUGUCAAUAGAUGCAUUAUCAUUUUGUCAAGUUAAUCUGACUUAGGUUAAUCACCAAAGGCAAGGUGAAUUAAUUGACUCAAUUUUAAUAAAUUUUAAUUUAACUAAGUGCAAGUAAUAAUAAUAAAACAGUUAAAAAAUACAUAAUUAAAUAACUAAAAAGAAGAGAUAACAGGUACAAACUCCGAUUUAUAUUUUGCUCAAUCCCAUACUCUCCUCAAGCUCUCAAAUGCAAAUUGAGGGUUCCACUAGCUUUUAAGACUUCAAUCAAAUCUUAAUCCUUUACACUUGGAUUCUCAAUUUCAAUGAUCUUUUUACACUUUAAUUCAAGAAAUUCCUCACUCUUGAACAUACUCAAAGGUAACACUUGAACAACAUUGAUCUCACAAAAUUUUAUUUACAAAUAAUAUAAAUGAAAACUUAAAUGGUUUUUCUUGGCUAGGAUUUCUAAGUUAAUAAGGAUUUUUGCAUUAAAAAGAAAUAGUUAAAAUCAAUUGGGUUUUGUAAGAUUUUGAUAUAUAUCUUAGUUUGCGAGUUUUUUGGGAUUCUAUUAUAAUCUUAUUGUUUUAUCCUAAAAUUGUCAAAAAAAGAAAUCAGUAAUUUAGUAUGGCAAUUUUACUCCAAAGAUUAUUGAUUAAAAAUUAUUUUACUAAUACCAACGUGUAAGAGUUAAAGGCAUAAAAUUGAAAUUAAAGUAAGUUUAUUAUUUUGGAUUUGGUUAAGUAAUGACAAGAUUAAUAAUUGAAAUUAAUGUAAAAAGAAGUGUAAAAACUUUAAAAGUUUAAAAUAUCAUUUCAUUAUUAAUUAGUUUCCACUUGCCAACAUAGACUUCUCAUUCUAUUCAAACAAGUUUUUUGUACUUUUAUAUAUAUAUAUAUAUAUAUUUCAUAAACUUAACAAAGGAUACAAACAACAAAAGAAAAAAAAAAUUGAGCUACUAAACCUCAAUAUAAAUUUGGGGUGAAUUAUCAAGGUCUAUUAAGGAGCAUGGGGAAGUGUUGUAUCACAUAUCGAUGUGAAGAAGGUGUAUAUAUAUUUAUAGUAUAGGACCUAAGAUGUGAACGUUUCUUUUAAAGUUAGGUAAACAUUUCUUUCAAAAUUAAUGGAAUCUCACUAUGAUUUAUAUACACAUGCUUUCAGUGUCCAUAGAGGUUGAAAUAAUACGAUGAUUUUUAACUUAUAUCUUGCUUUUUAUAUGUGAUUUAAUAUUGUUUUGGAUUAUUGAUUAUGACUCAUGAAUUAUCAUGCAUGGAACUAAUCAAAAUGAUAUAAUUAAAUUAUAUUAAUGAAUUUGAGAUAGACAUGACAAUUAUUAAUUUAAAAUAUCUUAUAUGAACAUAAAAUUUUAAAUAUAGACUCAUAAUUUAUAUAUAUUAAUAUAAUAAAGUUGAAAAACUACGUUUAUCUCAAAUUUAUGCCUAGGGCCCAAAUUUUGCUGAGAGCCAGCCGGAUGUCAUCACAUGCAAGAAAGCUAGGAAACAAAGCUAAAGUUUGCUUCUUGUGUGGGAAGAGGUACUUCCGUGCUUGACUGAAAGAAAGGAUUUUCUACAAGAAAAAUUGUCCCCUUGUUUGUAAAGCCUCAAGUUGCGACAGCAAUAACGACAAAAGUAGGCCAAAGAAUUUGUCAUUAUUAUGAGACUAGAGAGGUUUUACUGAGAAGUUUUCCGAGCGUGAUAUCAGCAUUCGCUGUAUCACAGUGAUACAACAAAUGGUUUGAACACAGUGAUCUAGAACCCAUUAGCUCAAAUUUCAUUGAUCUGAACACGAUGAUCCUCAUCCGCAGACCAUUUUAGGGAAUGAUUAAUUCGAGCGAUUUUUUAACUGCCUGUACGAAGAACUUUAUCAAAAUUGGAUUCAGUGUAUCUUAACCAAUCUUGAUCAGUAUGCGACUGAUGAUUCUAUUUGAUAAAAGUAAUGCGGUGGCCCAACUUUAUCUUAAUUUCUAUGUUGAAAGUAACCAUAUAUUAUUCUAUAAUUAUAAAUAUAUACUGUGGAAUCAAGAUAACUUUGAUAUGCUAAGGAUCAAAAGAGGGCAGCCACUUUAGUAGUGGAUUAUACUAAAUAAAGCUGAUCGAUUAUUACAUUGGAAAAUAACAUUGAACCUAUCAUGAAAGACAACCCUACUGGACCAUGCCCCGAGUACUAAAUGCUGAUAAAAAACAAGUACAUGUUCCAAAGGAAUUGAGUCCAUAUAUACACAUUAGUGCUCAAAGAGAAAAACUAUAUAUCCACCGCUUAACUACAGUGAUCCUUUGAGCAGAAGAAGCUAGCCAUGUAUUUCCUUCUCCAAUACCUAAACAUCACCACGGUCGGAGUCUUUGCCACACUUUUCCUUUCCUACUGUCUAUUAUUAUGGAGGUCUAGAGCUGGUAACAAAAAAAUAGCACCUGAAGCUGCUGCUGCAUGGCCCAUAAUCGGUCACCUACACCUGUUAGCUGGUGGUUCUCAUCAGCUUCCCCACAUAACCUUGGGAAACAUGGCCGACAAAUAUGGACCGGUCUUCACAAUUCGGAUUGGGUUGCAUCGAGCUUUGGUGGUAAGUUCUUGGGAGAUGGCUAAAGAAUGCUCGACCGCCAAUGACCAGGUUUCAUCCUCGCGUCCCGAACUUUUAGCCUCAAAACAUUUGGGCUACAACUACGCCAUGUUUGGUUUCUCUCCAUACGGUUCUUACUGGCGUGAAAUGCGCAAGAUAAUCAGCCUAGAGCUACUCUCUAACAGCCGCUUAGAGCUGCUGAAGGACGUCCGAGCUUCAGAAGUGGUGACAUCCAUAAAAGAGCUAUACAAGCUCUGGGCAGAGAAAAAAAAUGAAUCGGGCCUUGUCUCUGUGGAGAUGAAGCAGUGGUUUGGAGACUUGACUCUGAACGUAAUUCUUAGGAUGGUGGCAGGGAAGCGUUAUUUCAGUGCUUCAGAUGCAAGUGAAAAUAAACAGGCGCAGAGGUGCCGGAGAGUGUUCAGGGAAUUCUUUCAUUUGUCAGGGCUCUUUGCGGUGGCGGACGCUAUUCCAUUUCUUGGAUGGCUCGACUGGGGGAGACAUGAGAAAACCCUAAAGAAGACAGCAAUAGAAAUGGACAGUAUUGCUCAAGAAUGGUUAGAGGAGCACCGUCGGAGGAAAGACUCCGGUGAUGAUAAUAGUACGCAAGACUUCAUGGAUGUGAUGCAGUCAGUUCUUGAUGGCAAAAACCUUGGUGGUUACGACGCUGAUACCAUCAAUAAAGCCACAUGCAUGCCUGGUAUGAGUUAUUAAUGAAGCACCCACGUACCAUUUAUAUUUGCAUAUUAUCAGGGCUAGCUUCUUUUCCACAGACAGUUUUUCUUUUGUUUAUAUGUUUUAAUUGAUGCAUAUUCACUUUCUUCUUCUCUUAAUUAAAUUGCAAUAAUUAAACAUACAAUUUAAAUAAAUUUUAAAUUUUAUUUUUAACUAAAAACAAAAGUAUACAUAUACAAAUAUAUAUUGCUUAAGCAAUUAAUUUUUAAAAAUUAUUCUUUCAGAACACCUUAGACAAGUUGAGACAUGCUUCGAGGGAAAUCUAAAUAUAAUGAUUUUAAAAGCUACUUUGUAAUUUUAUUUUCGAGCAUGUUGCAUAAUAUAUGCUUUCCUUGAAUUGAUUUUCUAAAUUUUAUUUUUGUCAGCAAGAAAGGGUUAUCUACGUUUUGGAAGUUAUCUUUAAUUUCCCCUGCAAAGAAUAAGUGUGUGGACCCUGCAUUUCGGCUCAAUGCGUUUCCCACUCGAUGGCGAGCUCGAUUUUUAUUUGAAAAAUGAUUUUUAUUGAUUAUUUAGAAAAUGACUUGGAGUCGCCACUUAUUUUUGUUUUAUUUUUAAAGGGUAAACAAAAUAAGAAAGAAAAACCCUAAGUGUGACUCCUUAUUUUGGAAAAGGUGGUCUGUGAAAAACUGAAUCGGGUUCAGGGGUCAGGUUACUUAUUGGGAAGGUACGGUAUGGACCGUAGCACCCCUCUAAGUCCCUAAAGUCGGGUCUCUACUAAUGAGAUGAAGCUGACAUGGCAAUCAAUGAGAAAAUCAAUGAAUACUCGAAUCAAUCAUGCACAUAUGAGAGACAAAGCAUGUAUAAAGAAUGAGCAAAAUAUGAAUAGAUGCGUACCUGGGCGACAAUCACGAAUGCGCUAUCAUGAAACAUGGUUAGUGAACAAUAAACAUAUAUAAUUAAGCGCAUAUCAAGGAAUAGAGUAAAUCAAUCAUGCAUGACAAAUAAAUCAAUCAAUCAUGGAAUCUCAUAUGUAGGGCCCCCACCAAAACCCAAUUCAUUUUUGCAUGAAUCAAUUCCAUAAAUUCCAUCACUUGGAAUUACGGAAUUUAAUUCUUACUUAUUUUUAAAACAUUUUAAAAACCAAGAAAAUGCACAAGUGGCUUGCCGGAAGGAAAAUGGCAACCAAAUUUUAUUGAAAAUGGGAUUUAAGAAGAUUAUUUUCAAGAAAACAGGGGAUGAGAGAAUAGAAGGAAAUGGCACAUGGUCAAGAGCUGCAUGCCUAAGGUGGCCAUGCAAAAACACUUCCCUCUAAGCUCAGGGUGGAGGGACUGCACUAUAAGGAUCAGUGGUGCUGCAGAGCUUGUCAGAACAGCUGAUGGCAUCAUAGGUGUUGCUCCUGAUUGCCUGAAAGAAUUCAUCUCUAAUGGACGGAAUCGAUUGCUCUACAUGAUUAUUCCAGAAGGUAAUGGUUGAGUCCUUAGCUUCACGAACCCAAUUUUUUAUGUCAUUACUUCCCAUCAAACUACCAUGACAUAGGAGCCACACUGAGCAAACUGAUGAGCCCGCUGCCCCACAUGUAUAGGGAAUCCAGUACAAAGUUAAUUUCCGCGGUUUACGAUGUUCGGAAACAAGGAUACUUAGGUAAGAAUCCAGCUUAUACAUGAUAAAUCACGNNNNNNNNNNNNNNNNNNNNNNNNNNNNNNNNNNNNNNNNNNNNNNNNNNNNNNNNNNNNNNNNNNNNNNNNNNNNNNNNNNNNNNNNNNNNNNNNNNNNGUGGAUGCCGCCUAUGAUACUAGCCUCAGAAAUCAUGCCAUUGACAUCGUUGUGCUUGUUACUAUUGCCAUCUCUAUCUCACAUGUGAGAGCCCUUGAUGGAAUCAAUUAAAAUAAUCCUUGAUAGAAACGUGGACUUCAUGUCUCAAAUCUGGCCUUUCAUAUCUCCUCAUUUGUCCAUGUCAACUAUUGUCACCAAGCCAUAAGCCUCUUGAUCCCAUGAUAACCCCAUUAUUCAACCCAAUACUUCAAUGAUGAUUCUCUUUCAUUUGCAUUCCUGACCUUCUCUUAUCUCCAUUACUGAUCCCAUGGAUGUUUACAGGAUUGAGUAUUUGGACGAGAGCAAACUUUGAUUAGAACCCUGUAUCAUGUUGAGUCUCUGCCAGCCUGGAAGGAUAAAAAUCACGUUGCCCCAUAUGGUGAGUUUUACUUUGAUUUACUCUUCCUCCUUGAUUCGUAUAAUGCAAGAAGGACAGGAGUUAAAAUGUCACGGAUAGCAUGAUGGCAAUGCCCAAAAGUAGCGUCAGUGUACAUUUGAGUCAAACGCGACUCCAUAUCAAACAUUGGCGGCCAGCGUCCAAGUCAAAGGGACGUAGUGCCCAUAAUUCACUGUUGAUAUUCUUCUUUCUGGGGAUGGAACAGAUCCAACUUCAAGGAUUGGGUGAGUCUCCUAAGAACUUUUCAUAAGGAUGGAUGACUGCCCAACAAUGCACUCAGGUUCCAUCAUUGCAAAGCCUCAACAGACUGCAUGCACCAUUCGUCGCGUACCUCACGACAAAUGUGAGUCUGGUUAAUCCCGUAGGAGGACUCCAAGCAGCAUGCAUAACGUACCUCUUCGGAAUAUCACAACGAGACCCACUGGUGCCCUCGUCUGAAUACCCCUCCGCCUCUCAUUCAAGUAAUGGGUGUUGGACCCAUGUAUGCAUGCAAAGAUGGAGGAGUGAAGUGGUGAGAGAAAGGAUGUAUGGAUUUAGCUGCGAGUAAGGUCACGGGUAUGGGAGGAUGGAUGCGGUGAAGACCUUUGAGGGUGAUGAAAAAUGGUGCAUGGAGUAAGAUAGGCUAAAGUGGAAAUGCGUGGUAGAAUGGGCAUAGGAGUAUCAUGAGAGAAGUGUGCAGGGACUACAUGCAUGUGGGUGGCUAGGGAAGUAAAAGAUGGGUUCAACAGUGAAACGUAUGGGAAUGAUGAGAGGGAAAGCGGAUUAGCAGAUGGGGUUAAUGAGUGAUAUGAAGAAUGGGGUAUGAGACCUGGGUAUAAGGUGAAAUGAAUAUGACAUGGUUAUGCAUGGCCAUGCCAUGGCCAUGCAAGAACAUGAUGGAAAGGGAGUGACGGAUGUAUGAAUAAUGGAGAGCAUGAGGAGGUAUGGGAUAGAUGAACAGGGCUGGAUGGUGGAUGAUGAAUAAGUAAUGGUGAAAUGGGUAUGAAAGAGUUUGAAGAGAGAGAAAAGGUGGUAAUGUGGAAUGGGUUUGAUAGGUGGGAGUACAAAGUGGGUAUGAAGAUGGGUAUGAAUGGUUUAGUAGGUACGAGACAAAUGGGUUAGAUGGAGGGUAUAAUGGGUGAUGUAAUGAUGGAAACCCGGGCGUUUAUUCAUCUUUGGAGGCACGAUACCCGGGUCAUGAACAGAUGGAUCACACUUCUUGGCCAGCUGCAUUCAGGCCAUAGUCAAUACAACCGACUUCGCUACCUCCAUUUCCAGGCACAGUGAUUGACACAAAGGAAGGUAACUUCCCAAUAAUCAAGCUUCUUUCGAUACAAGGUCUGCAUGGCUUAGCCGAGUUCAGUUUAGUUGGGUGUCGAAUCCCAUUGGUCAGUAGACCCAUUUGGAGCGAAACUGAACCCUUUAAUCCAAAUGGACCGUUACAGAGAGCACAAAGCAGCAGUAGGAUUAGCAAGACCCAGAGCAUAAGAGCGGGCUGUGACCAUGGCAGAGAUUCCAAAUUAGAAAGCAAGCACAAAACCAUCCAUGGAAGAGGUUAUCCAAGGUUUUGGAUGCUUAUGAAGUUUUCCCGCAAGUUGAACGAAUCUGUAACAGAGUGCCUUCUGAUCUAACCUGCAUAGUUUCAACAUGUACCACACCAUCCCCAUUCACGGUACCUCCAAUCACUAUGUCACCCUUCUUUCUUCGCCAUAGGCCUAGCAUCCUCUGUGAGCAUGUUCUUGAACCCACAAUCUCCCGCUUUACCUCAUGGAAACAUGUCAACCAAAAUAGCCCACCCAUCAAGUGACUGAUUCAACUCUGAUACCCGACAUCUCAGAUGCACCAACAACAGAAGCACAAAAGGGUAGGAAAUGGGGCCAAAACAGAAAAGAACGAAGGAAGGAUAAACGAGGAAUAAAGUAAAACAUAAGUGUAUAGAGCCUCAUUUCAGGUGACAUCCAUGGGCUUAUACAAGUGAGGAGAUCUCAAGUUAGAGUUACAGAAUAUAUGAGGAACCGAGUUCUAUUAACUCCAAGCCAAACCACAAGAACAGCAGUAAAAUCAACAACAAUAGAGUAUAAAAACGAUCCAGAAAUCAACAAAAUUCAGUACGUAUGACCCAACUCAAAUUGAUGAGCAAUGCAGAGCAAACCAAAAUGAGAAAAGGGUGAGAAAAAUAUGAAUCAAAGUAAGCAAGAAACUCACCUCAAACUCACCUGCAGACGCUCCUCUCUCUAUUCCUUCAUUCUCUAAGCUUCAGCUAGCCAAAAACAACGCCCAGAAUCUCCGUCACACAGCCACCCAAAACCUCCUCCUCUGCAGCCUCGAACCUCUCUGCCAACAAACAGCAACCAAAAGCACCUCCCCCUCUCGGAAACUUCUUUCUCCCUAAAAAAAAACUCUCAGACCAGCCUCUCUAAAGCUCCCCCUCUCUCAAGUUCACCGUCCAAAAUUACUCCUCUCAUGGAAAAACUCCCUGGAAUCCCCUCAGCAGCCCCGGUACCUCCAGCUAAAAGAAAAUCACCCCCCCCGGUUCUCAUGUCUCUCUCACCUUUUUUUCUCUCUAGCCAAAACCAGCUUUCUUUUCCUCCCUUUGGAAAUAUCUCCCUAACGGCCAGACGACACCCACCUGCCUUGCAGCUGCAAGCCUCCACUCCCCCCUAUGCAGCUGGCAGCCUCCCAAAAUCAACCCAACAAAAGCUCUUCCCCUAAAGAUUUCUGCCACCUUCCUCUUCUAGGCAAUAUCUCUUUUCUGUCCCGGAUUUGCCCCUCCAACAAUCCCUGUAGCCACCUCCAGCACCACUACACUCUGCAUGCAACUGGCAACACCUCCUAACGGAAAGCACGCUCCCUUCUUCUAGAAUGUUCUUCACUUUCCAGGUGUCUUCCUCUUAUUAGUCCAUCAAUUCCACCAUAGUGAUUCCACUAGUAGCCAACCCGAGAGUGACACGUGGCCAUGCGAGAUGGUGACACUUGUCCAGCAUCAGCUGCAAGAAUGACUCCCAAAAUGGGGGUCUACAACUAUGCCCAUUUUCGGUAGAGUUCACAAGUGUAAGGAAAAUGAACACUGGAAUGAAAGGUAGGUGUGAAUAGUGAGUGGAAUGAAGUGAACUCUACCGAAGAACCAAGGAGACCCCCAUAGGGACACUAGCAAAACACGAAUUCGCUCAGGCUGACAGACUGACACAAAGGCUCUGAUCCUAAAACAAAAUGAUGUCUCAAAAUGCCUCUGAGGCCAUACUAAGGAUCCAAGCUCCCUUUAACAUGCCUCCAAAAGUGACCCGAAGAUCGAUGUCAAAAGUGAGUAACGGUCGAACCACCCUGGAGUACGAACAAGAAUGCGUCUAAAGGAGACUGCCCUAUGUGGACUAUGAGAUGAAUAGGUGAUAAGCACAGGGUAACGAGGUGAGAAGAGUGAGAAUAAGUGCAAAUCCAUGAAGGUGAGAUGCGCAAUGCCAGUGAAUAUGAACGCUAGGGGCUGCGACUCUGAAUGACGAGACUGACCCUAAACGCUAAACUGAGAAAAACAAUGGCUCUGGAAGCCAGACCAAAAACUAACUCUAAAAACUAAACUAGAAUAACAGCUCUGGAAGUCAACCAAAAACUAACUCUAAAAGCUAAACUAGAAAACAACAGCUCUGGAAGCCAACCAAAAACUAACUCUAAAAACUAAACUAGAAAAUAACAGCUCUGGAAGCCAACCAAAAACUAACCCUAAAAGCUAAACUAGAAAACAAACAGCUCUGGAAGCCAACCAAAAACUAACUCUAAACUAGAAAAUAAUAGCUCUGGAAGCCAAACUGAAAACUAACUCUAAAAGCUAAACUAGAAAACAACAGCUCUGGAAGCCAAACCAAAAACUAACUCUAAAAACUAAACUAGAAAAUAACAGCUCUGGAAGCCAACCAAAAACUAACCCUAAAAGCUAAACUAGAAAGUAACAAACAGCUCUGGAAGCCAACCAAAAAACUAACUCUAAAAACUAAACUAGAAAAUAACAGCUCUGGAAGCCUAAACAAGUCGACAGUAACGACUCUGGAAGCCUAAACAAGAUGAUAGUAAUGGCUUUGGAAGCCUAAACAAGAUGACGGUAACGACUCUGGAAGCCUAAACAAGAUGAUAGUAAUGGCUCUGGAAGCCUAAAUAAGAUGACGGUAAUGGCUCGGAAGCCUAAACAAGAUGACAGUAACGACUCUGGAAGCCUAAACAAGAUGAUAGUAAUGGCUCUGGAAGCAUAAACAAGAUGACAGUAAUGACUCUGGAAGCAUAAACAAGAUGACAGUAAUGGCUCUGGAAGCAUAAACAAGAUGACAGUAACGACUCUGGAAGCCUAAACAAGAUGAUAGUAAUGGCUCUAGAAGCCUAAACAAGAUGAUAGUAAUGACUCUAGAAGCCUAAACAAGAUGAUAGUAACGACUCUGGACGUCGAAACUAAAAAGUGAUGAUGAUGACUCUGAACGUCAAACUGAGAAGUGAUAACGACUCUGAACGCCAAAACCGAGGAUGCGACUCUGAAUGUCGAUCUGAAAACCGAUGAUGGCUCUGAACGCCUAAACUGAGAAAUGAUGAUGAUGACUCUGAACGUCAAACUGAGAAGUGAUAACGACUCUGAACGCCGAAACCGAGGAUGCGACUCUGAAUGUCGAUCUGAAAACCGAUGAUGGCUCUGAACGCCGAAACUGAGAAGUGAUGAUGAUGACUCUGAACGUCAAACUGAGAAGUGAUAACGACUCUGAACGCCGAAACUGAGGACGCGACUCUGAAUGUCGAUCUGAAAACCGAUGAUGGCUCUGCACGCCGUAACUGAGAAGUGAUGAUGAUGACUCUGAACGUCAAACUGAGAAGCAAUGAUGAUGACUCUGAACGUCAAACUGAGAAAGUGAUAACGACUCUGAACGCCGAAACCGAGGAUGCGACUCUGAAUGUCGAUCUGAAAACCGAUGAUGGCUCUGCACGCCGUAACUAAGAAGUGAUGAUGAUGACUCUGAACGUCAAACUGAGAAGCAAUGAUGAUGACUCUGAACGUCAAACUGAGAAAGUGAUAACGACUCUGAACGCCGAAAUCGAGGAUGCGACUCUGAAUGUCGAUCUGAAAACCGAUGAUAGCUCUGAAUGCCGAAACUGAGAAGUGAUGAUGAUGACUCUGAACGUCAAACUGAGAAGUGGCUCUGAACGCCGAACUGAAAAAUGUGACAUGAUGACUCUGAAUGUCGUAAACCGUGAAUGAACGGCGACUCUGAACGCCAGACUGCAAGGAAACAAUGUGGGGGAAAUAUGCCCCAGUGUGACAUGCCGCUGCAAAUCUCAAACUGCUAGAAAUGGCUAAAAGGGACUCUACGAGUCUCGAAAGACGCACCACUAAGAGCUCAUGUCAAUGAAGAGCUCAGGAACAACGGUCAGUGAGGCGAAUACAAUAUAUCUCGGCCGAGUGAUGGAAACCGCGACGGACAUGUGAGAGAACGAUCGCCUCCAUGGCUAAAUGAGGGAAAUACGCCCCAGUAUGGCAUCAGAUGUACCCGAUCUGCCCUGAUGACCCGAGAAUAACACCAUGGGGAUGCAUAAAAGACCUGAUGUGUACCGCACUGAAAUGAUGACAUGGGGAUCCAAGCACUCGACAUAACCCCAUCCAGGAAUCACGACUAUAUCAAAGAGUAUGAAUCUGGCUGAACGAGUCAAGAGAGGCUCCUCGGAGUAUCAGGACAAAAUGAAAUCAAUCAUCAACCUGGCGUGUAUCUCAUAACUGUGGAUGAUCAUGUAAACCAGUGGGGAUCUAUAAAUCUCGAUCAAGAUGGGGAAUAUGCCCCAGUGUGGCAUCGGAAAUGUAACAUGUCGAAAAAUCAGCUGAGCUCAAAUCAUCUAUGCCUGCAACUAGCUAGAUGGCUCUCGAUAGGCUCCACUAAGGAAUCAUCGCGAGGAUAGCGAAUAUAUCAUCAUCCCUGUAUACAUCUCGCAAAUAAGGAUAAGCACGCAACUUCCUCAUGAUCUGUAAAUCUCAUCCGAACGGAAAUAUGCCCCUGUAUGGCAUCGAAAUGUAGGAUAGGUCGGAGAUCAGAUAGCAUGGAAUCAUCUAUCUUAGAACAUGUGACCUCUGCGAAAAUCCAUAAAGAUCCUCCGAAACGGAAUAUGCCCCAGUAUGGCAUCUGACGUGCGACAAACCAGGAAAAACAGGUGACAUCGAAUCAUCCCUCAUCAAACACGUGAUCCUGGUAAUCCAAACACGGUCGAAACGGAUCUAAACAUCUGAGAAGUGUUUCUCAGAAGAAGAUGCAUGGCAAAUAUCUGGAUGUCAACUGAAUCUCAAACACCUGUCCACAUAGAAGCCGUAGAAGACGAUAUCUGAUCCCAUGGCCUCAGGGUGGUCUUAAGACACAGGACGUAAUGUAGGCUAGGGUGAUAGGGUGAUAGAAACGAAGGGAAACUAAGCUCAAAUACCCAAUGAUCAAAACCCAUGCCCUCGUGUGUGAAAUGCAACAUGUACAGAAAAUCCUGUGAGCCCUGGACCUGAGGGUGUCUAAUGUGAAUAUGAUGUCAAUGAGGAAACAAGUGAAGCAAAUCAAACUGAUAAUGAGAUAUGUAAUGGUGAUACGAAGGGAAUAUCAAACCCGAGAUGGGUCUGGUAAGAAAAGAAUGAGAAGUGAAGUGAGAAUGACGAAUCAGAAGCGAAAACGAGGACGAUGAUAAUGAAGCGAAUAACAUCAAAAGGAGUGAUGAUCAACUCAGAUCAGACAUGGAGUGAUGUCACAUCAACUACGAACAUAAUGAUGGAACGUACAAUAACGCAGAGCUCCUAAGAGAAAGUCACUCAUCUCGCUCACAAAAUAUGCAACAAAAUGAAUACAAAGCCUGAGGGAUCCAGGGAAGCUCACAUACGAACUCCCGUCAACAAACAUACUCGAUCAAGUGACCCUCGAAUAUCAAUACAUACACUCAGUGAUGGAUAACAAAACACACUUGAUUUUUAUUUCUUUUUCCAUUUUUUUUUUUUCAUUUUUUUCAUUCAUUUUUUUUUUUUUUUACAACAUAUAAAUGAACUGUACAUGAUCUGAAUGCAUACAAAGAAGACCCAAAGACGGGAUCAAAAAUGAAUAAACAUGCCCUCAAAUAUCAAUAUAUCACAAACUCAAUCUAAUGAGAUGAGGUGACCUUCUCAAACUGAGGAUCCCUGGAUCAGUGUCCGUGGGAUAGAUAGUGGAAAUGGCGUGACUACCCUCCAUGUGAUGAAAUGAGGAGGAUCACCCCUCGGGGUGAAAGAAGAUGACAUGAAACGAAUAGUAGAUAAGAUAAAGAAAAUAUGAUGAAUAACACGAACAGUGAGAUGAGAUGAAAUGCAAUGAUGCAGUGGUGAGCACAGAUAAUGAGAAGAACGUGCCCCUAGGUCCAAGGCUCAUGAAACUCUCAAACAAUGCAUGCAUACACUAAAGGGCCCCAAUCCCGGUGUGAAAAUGUGAGCAAGGCUAUAGAAAAUGAAGGCUAUGAUGCGCGUGUGAGGCUCAAAUGGGCUAGCAAUGGACUAUAUAUAUCAGAAACGGGAUAAAGGGAUAUAGCUAACCGAAAUGAUGGCCACCCAUCCUGCGACCAUGGACUCAAACGUAGUACCUCUUUAGCUGAUCCACAUUGGUCGGCUCUGAGAACUGGUUUCCAUCUAAAUCCAUCAGCCAUGCAGCGCCCUCUGGAGUCAACUUCCUGAUGAAAUAAGGUCCGCUCCAACUAGGUCUGAACUUCCCUCUAGGAUCUCUGAUCAAUCCUCUGAUGACUCUCAAAACUAAGUCACCUACAUGCAGUGGUCUAGGCUUGACCUGCUUUUUGAAAGCGCGGGCCAUCUUCCUCUGAUAUGCACGAACGUGGUCUGCUGCUCUCAAUCUCCUCUCAUCUAGGAGAUUGAGCUGAUCAAAUCGAGCCUGAGCCCAAUCCGUCUGGGGAAUCUGCUGCUCUAGUGCUACUCUCAAUGAUCCCAUCUCAAUCUCAACAGGUAGCACUGCCUCCAUGCCGUACACCAAUGAAUAGGGUGUGGCUCCUGUAAAGGUGCGAAAAGAAGUCCGAUAUGCCCACAAUGCGAAAGGGAGCUUCUCUGACCAAUCCCGAGAAGUCUCAACCAUCUUUCGCAAUAUCCUCUUAAUAUUCUUAUUCGCGGCCUCUACUGCCCCAUUCGUCUGCGGCCUGUACGCAGACGAUCUAUGAUGCCGGAUGCCGUAUCUCUGCACCAAGGUGUCAACCUCUGCUCUGAAAUGCACCCCUCUGUCUGAAAUAAGCUCGUGAGGGACUCCAUAGCGACAAAUGAUGUGCGAUCUAAUGAAACUGACAACUCCAGAUGACGUCAAUCUCGCAUACGAGGCGACCUCCACCCACUUGGUGAAGUAAUCAAUAGCAACAAGGAUAAACUCAUGACCACUGGAAGAUUUCGGUGAAAUCUUCUCGAUGAUAUCGAUACCCCAUACUGAAAACGGCCAUGGUGAAGUCAAUGCAUGCAACUCCGAGGGCGGCACGUGAAUGAGAUCUCCAUGUAUCUGACACUCGGGACAUCUCUGAACGAACUGGCAACAAUCUGUCUCCAUGGUCAACCAAAAGUAUCCUGUCCUCAUGAUCUUACGGGCCAACAUAUGCCCCCCAUAUGUGGUUCGCAGACUCCCGCAUGAACCUCUCGCAUAACUCUAUCGGCAGAAGCGCGAUCCAAACAUAAUAGCAGUAUCCCAUCAAAUGAUCGUCUAUAUAGCGUCUCGCCACAAAUCACGAAUCGGGUGGCCAACUGUCUCAAUGCCCUCCUAUCCUUGGCCGUGGCGGCCUCAGGAUAUAUGCCGAGUCUCAAAAAGUGAUAUAUGUCAUGAUACCAGGGCAAACCAUCGUCUAUCUCCAUAUCAUCAAUCAAACAACAAUACGCAGGAGCAGAUCUCGACUCAAUCAACAAAGGGCGAACAGUGGCAUCAGCGGGAAUGUCGAUCAUGGAAGCUAGAGUAGCUAAAGCAUCAGCAAACUGGUUUUGCGCUCUAGGCAGAUGUGUAUAUCUCAAAUCCUCAAAUCUCGCGACCAGUAGCUCCAAAUACGCGUGGUAAGGCCUAAGCUUCACAUCUCUAGUCUUCCACUCGCCUUGAAUCUGUCUCAAUACCAGAUUGGAGUCACUAAACACCUCCAUCUGUCUAAUCCCAAGCUCGAGGGCUGUCUCUAACCCCAAGAUACAUGUCUCAUACUCAACAAUGUUGUUCGUGGCUGGAUGUCGAUCCGAGAAUGCCAAACGAACAGAUCUGGGAAUGUGAUCACCAUGAGGGGAUAUCAACAAAACGCCUAUCCCGUAUCCAGAAUGGUUGGCUGCACCAUCAAAGUACAUGCGCCAACCCGACAGACUAGUCGCAGCUGCGACGUCCUCGUCUGGAAAAUCAUCGUCAAUAGCUCUGGCAUCAGAAACUGGUAAUGAGGCUAAGUGAUCUGCGACAAUGCUCCCUCUGAUGGACUUCUGAGUGACAUAAUGAAUGUCAAACUCAGUCAGAAGUACCAGCCAUCUCAUAAGGCGACCAACUAGAGCGGGCCUGUCAAACAAAUAUCUCAAAGGAUCAAGACGAGAUAUCAAAUGCACUGAAUACUCGGUCAUGUAAUGUCUCAAUCGGCGAGUGGCCCAAACCAAUGCCAAGCAGUAGCGCUCAAUCGUGACGUAUCUCGUCUCGUAAUCUAGCAUCCUCUUGCUCAGAUAAUAAAUGGCUCGAUCUUUGCCCGAAUCAUCGAGCUGAGCUAACAUGCAACCUAAAGCCACAUCCGAAACUGAUAGGUAUAGGAGUAGAGGAUGGUCUGGUGUAGGCGGAGCCAAAACUGGAGGCGACAACAAGUACUCUCGGAUCCUCUCAAAUGCGCGCUGACACUGAUCAUCCCAAACAGUAGGUUGACUCUUCCUCAAGAGUCGGAAAAUGGGCUCACAAAUGUCUGUCAAUCUGGCUAUGAAUCUACUGAUGUACUGAAGUCUGCCCAGGAAGCCUCUGACCUCUCUCUCUGUCCUCGGUGCAGGCAUGUCAAGGAUGGCUCUAAUCUUGUCCGGAUCUACCUCUAUGCCUCGCUCACUGACCAUGUACCCCAAGAGUUUCCCAGAAGUCACUCCAAAAGUGCACUUCUUGGGAUUCAGCCUCAAUCUAAAUUGUCUGAUCCUCUCAAAGAACCUCUCAAGAGCUGCCAAGUGAUCUGAUCUAUCUCGGGAUUUCACUAUCAUGUCGUCUACAUAAACCUCGACAUCCCGAUGCAUCAUGUCAUGGAAGAGUGUGGUCGCUGCUCUCUGAUAGGUGGCUCCUGCGUUCUUCAAUCCGAAUGGCAUGACUCUAUAGCAAUAAGUACCCCACUCGGUAAUGAAGGACGUCUUCUCCAUGUCCUCUGGAGCCAUCAAGAUCUGACUAUACCCGGAAAAUCCGUCCAUAAAGGACAACAUCGAGUGACCUGCUGUACUGUCAACUAACAUGUCGAUGUGUGGGAGAGGAAAAUCAUCUUUAGGACUGGCCUUGUUGAGAUCUCGGAAAUCAACACAGACUCUCACCUUGCCGUCUUUUUUGGGAACAGGGACGACAUUGGCCAGCCACUCUGGGUACUCGACUACUGAUAGAAAUCCUACACUGAGCUGCUUCUGAAUCUCCUUUUUCACCUGCAAGCUCCAACGAGGGUGCAAUCGUCUCAACCUCUGCUUAACCGGUCUGGCAUGGGGCAGAAGUGGCAAACGAUGCUGGACGAUGGAUGGAUCAAGGCCCGGCAUGUCCUCAUAGGACCAUGCGAAAACGUCCAAGUAGGAUCUGAGCAGCUGGAUGAGACUAUCUCUCUCAUCUGAGGAUAAAUCUGACCCGAUCCUCAACUCCCUAGGCUGAUCUGCGGUGCCGAAAUCAACAAUCUAUGUGUCUCCUACAGCAGGUGAAACCCUCUGAUCAACGGGAUCCGAAUCGGAAACAGAAGAUGAGUCAUCAUCUGAGUCGUGCUGUGCAAUCUCAUCAUCAAUAUCAAAAAUCUGUGAUGUGGGUGAAGAUGGUGCAGAUAAAUCAAUAUCACAAGAGACAGGCAGGUACUAAAAAAUGCUCAAAUCCAUAGAUGAAACAUCGGAAACAAUGUCAGAACGGGAGACAAACCCCGACUGAACGUCAAAUGAAAGAGGUGGGUCCACAAAGUCGGACGCUUCCUCAACAAUGCCAACAUGGCUAUCAAUCAAAUCAUAAAAAACUAUAGCAUCCUUAGUAAUCUCCAGAGCAGGGGCUGUCUGGAUCUCCUCAACGAUCUCGAUGAAAGACACCCCGAAAAGAUCGAAUGGUGAAGUGAGCCCAGGAUGAACUCUCUCCUCGAUCGGGCCCAGGCUCAGGGCGAGCAUCUCGUCGAUGUACUCGUCGUGUGGGACGGCUCCGUCCACUAUGUCUCCGACCCCAGCAAAGGUCUCAUGCUCAUCGGUCUCGUCCGGGAAGCAAAGCGUUAUAAGGCUCGUGCGAUCUGGAGACGAAGGAGCAAUCAACACAGAAGUCGAAGAGCCAGGAGCUCCAUCUCUCAAUCGUAACUGAUGGACAAGGCGCUGAAGCUCGACCUCCUGAGUGGUGCUAAGUCCUCCAAUGAUCACGUCCGCACGGGUCAAUGGCUCUGAUGCCCUCACAAAAUAAUCAGAUAAGCUCCUGGUGUAUGGGCGAAGAGGAUAGUAGAAAGGUGUGUGGGUCAGUCACUCUCUCCUUGCGCAAACGCGCCAUGUAGAGAUAAUCGGCCUCAAUGGGGAUGAACCCGAGUCCGAACGGUACGUCGUGAUCAGGGAUGGCUAUGAACUCGCUCGGUCCAUGCUGACAUCGACCCAACCCCAUGCCGGGUAGAUAGGACAUGCUUCGCAUAAUAUCGAGCACCACUGUGCUCCCAUGCCGGUCAAAGGACAUGGCCACAAAAUCCCGGCAGAAAUCCUCUAUCUCCACAGUCUGCACCUCAUCGAAGGUGAAUUCAGUCAGAAAAAGAUCGUCAUCAGUGUGACUAAUCUCGAGCACAGGCUCGGCAACAAUGAACAUGUCUCCCACAGACUGUACCACGACGACCUGACCAUCGUGAAUAAACUUCACCUUCUGAUGAAGGGAAGAAGGAAUGGCCCCGGCUCUAUGGAUCCAUGGUCGGCCCAGAAGCAGGUUAAAGGAUGUAGGAAUCCUCAAAACCUGGAAUACAGCGACAAAAGUGGCCGGACCGAUCAGCAACUCGAUCUCCAAUGUACCCAUGACCUCUCUACGGGUGCUAUCAUAAGCUCGGACGGUCUGAGUGGAGGGACCGAAAUCAGAAGGAGCGUAUCCAAGGGCGAUGGCAGUGGCAAGAGGACAUACGUUCAGGGCCGAGCCAUUGUCCAAAAGGACAGAUGGGACUCGGCGGCCUGAACAGCCAACAGAUAUGUAGAGCGGACGAGUGUGGUCCGAGCCCUCCGGUGGCAAGUCAUCAUCGGAAAAGACGAUACAAGUGGCUCUGCCAGCCGUCAUCAUAUGAAGGAGUCCCUCGGGAGUGGUCGUGGUAUCAACUCUGAUCUGGCUCAGAGCUCGAGUCAGUGCGUCCCGAUGGGUACUGGAAGACGCUAAAAGGCUCCAGAUAGAAAUACGAGCCUGAGUGCUCUGCAACUGCCUCAAAAUCUCGUCAUCCUCUGCUCUCACCUCCUCCUGGGAUGACGUACCCCCUAAGGGUCUAGCGGGAGCGGCUGGAGGUGGCUGUCUCACUACUCUCCCUCCCCGGAGGAUAUACUAAACGUCCGGAGUCUGAGGAUCAUCACUAUGUGGAGCCUGAACCUCCUCAACAUCUGGGAUCAGAAUGUACGGCGCCUGAACGCUAUAGCGUGUGAAUGUCAGAGGCUCGGAAGUGGCCGCCUGUACAGAUGCUGCCUCAGGAACUAAUCGGAAUGGAGCAGGCAUCUGUGGCUCUAGAGUCACCCCACUCGUCUCGUAAAUCACAGCUGGCAUGAUAGGCUCUGGGUCUGGAUCAUCCCAACUCAACAUAUGGACAUGAUCAUCAGUCUCAUCGAAGUCCAAGAAAUGAAUACCACAAGCUGGUGGAGGAACUGCAUGUGUGGUGUGGGUCGGCAACGGGUUUGUGGUCACACUCGGCUGACCCAAGUGUACCAAACCCUGGUCUAUCAGAUCCUGAAUAGCGUGCCUCAGAGCGGUGCAUCGAUCGGUCUCAUGUCUAGGCCCCUGAUGAUAAGCACAGUGUAAAUCCAUCCUGAACUGAGCUGGAAUAGGCUGAGGUAGUGGCCGAGGGGUGAGAGCAGUCAAUAAACCAGCCUCCGUAAGCUUCCGAAGAGCCUGGCUCAACGGCAUGCCUAUCUGCGAGAACUGCCUCUGCGUCCUCAAAGUAAACGGAGCAGAAGUCUGCUGGGCUCCAGGUCGGGGAUAAGGCGCCGCAGGUCUCGCGGUGAACUGAGCAGCGUAGCAUGGCUGCCCUGUGGCUGUGUAGGAGACCGCGGGUCUCUCAAUGCCCUGAGUGGCAUAAGAAGGUAAAACCAAUGUCUGUGGCAUGUGUGUCUGAUCGUAAGCCGGACGAGGUGCCCGUGGCCUGUACUGAUGAGAUGCAUAGGAAGAAUGAGGCUCGAAAAACUGUGGGAUCGGCUGAUGGCGUCUAAGAGGCCUCUGACUGGAUGAACUGAUAGCACCAACCUCUGUCGGUCUCGGUCCUACGAAUAGUUUCUUCCCCUUAACAUCACUAGGGGAAGAAUCUGCCCAUAAACCUCUCGUGAUGCCGUCCUCGACAUCAUACAAAGCCAUAACCAGAGACCCAAAAUCUGUGAACGGGACCCCGACCACAUGUCUGGCGAUCCCCGGCUGUAGGCUCCUCAAAACCAUCUGAAUCUAGUCUCUCUCUGAUGGUCUAUCCACUAUCUCAGCUAUCUUCCCGCGCCAGCGGGAAAUGAAAGAAGAAACGGACUCCUCUGUCCUCUGCCUUAGAGCCUCGAGCUCUCUCCUCGAUACAUCUACAACAGUGUUAAACGAAAACUGUCGUAGGAACUCCUGGGCCAAGUCAUCCCAUGUACGGCGUCUCGAGGACUCCAGAGACGCAAACCAGCGCUGAGCUGCCCCACUCAGAGAUAGGGGGAAAAGAGUGAUCAUUUGAGGCUCGUCCAGUCCAUGAGCCCUCAUCACGGUGCUAUAAAGUCUGAGGUGGAGGCGCGGACAACCAAUACCAGUGUACCUCUCAAUAUCUGGCAUCCUGAACUUAGUUGGCAAGCUGGCUACCGGCAUACCCCCAAAAUCAUCCCAAACAACUGAUCCAUCUGACACUCUCAUCUGCCUCAUACACUGCUCGAUGCGGUCCAUGCGGGCAUGCGUGUCAUCAGCGACAACGGCCUGGGCGACUACGGGUGGAGUGAUCUCAGAAUGCCCGUGUAAUACAUAUGGUGAUGCCUGAUGCACUGAAGGAACGAGUGGGGGUGGUGGAGGUGGGUGUGAGUCAUAUGGCGUCUCAUCCUGGACUGCUGGUGGUCUACCCUACUGACCACCGAUCUCCUGCCUGAGGCUAGCCAAAGCCUCCUGGAUAGAAGCCAUGGCAGCCGUGAACUGAUCGACCGUGACAACCUGCUGAUCCAUAUCUGGUGUAUCUGAAACCCGAACUAAUCUGCCCUCUACUCUGAUCCACGAAACUAUACCCAGACUGAGAGUAAAAAUCCUGAUCCUGAAAGUACUCCUCUUCUGCUCUGAUCCACAAAGGUAUAUCAAGACAAGGAACAAAUGUCCUAUCCUACAAAGCACGAAGAACGUAAUAAGGAUAUGGCCCGGGGAACGUAUAGAAGAAAAGAUAAUCUGAACAGGAACAAGCAAAGCAUCCAAGUGAAGAUGAGCGAUCCGACCGUACUCAAACUCGUCCUGAUCUCAGUGCACUCUCAACUGGAGACUAAACAGAGGGAAAAUCGGAUCCAAAACUGCGGCUACAGAGGCACGGAAAGCCCUCAGAUGCACCCACGUGUAGGGAGGGAAUCCUAAUCGAAGGAUCUACGGCUCAACCUACAAGGUCAAGGUGGCUCUAAAUGGAUAAGGGUGGACUUUAAAAUAUCCCUAGCAGAAGCGAUUAUACCCUCCGACGGUACGCAACCCUCUGCACGUCUCCGAAGAGACGGGGCGCUUCCAUGCAAGGUGGUCAUCACCUCCACACAUGCACUACCUCGCAUCCCAGGGGGUUUCCUAUGGUGAAACCUCUCAAACUCUCAACACUCAAUAGUCGACUAGAGUGCACAGUGAAUGGUGUGGGUGCAUCCGAAACCCUAAAAAGCUAAAGCAGGAUAUGAAACACACUGGCCACACAAAUAUCCAUGAAACCUAGCUUCGGGCUAUACAGGUCUUCAAUGAUCGGACUCCAAUCGACAUCAAAGUGUCGCUCUCCUCCAAAAUGCUCCCGUGCAUCGAUAUAGCCCAUCGCUAGACCCUACUCCUAAUCUCCGGCUCGGUCAAAGAGCAAGCACACAGAAGGUCUCACACUUGCAAUAGUGAGAACCGAAAUGAAAGGAAUGACCGAAACCAAGAGAGUUGGAGGUAGGGGGAUAGAAGUGAGACCCACAUAGACAGGCAACAUGCAAUCAUACAGAGGGAGGGCAGUCAUGCAUCAUACGGUCAAGCAGAGUAUAGGAUAUAUCACUCAUGUCCACACAAAAAAAAAAGCUACAACUAUCAGGAUGAAUAGUGAUAUGAACAUCAUGCUCAAAAGAUGAUCUAGAUAAUAUGCAGGUCAGAGAAAACAACACAGCAAGUCAAACGAUGUACAAUAGUGAGUCUAUGCAUGUGAAGUGAGCAGAAUAAUCAGGAAGAAACAGAAUCGCUUUACCAAGCAAAACAAGGUGAGCAACCUAUGAUAAUCGGCAUGUCAAUGUACCAAACUAAUAUAGCAAUGAAGUACAAAAAAAACGACAUCCGAAGCCCCAAAUCAAGAUGAUCAAUCAUAUCAAUGUCACAACAUAAUAUCCAAGCAUACAUAAAAAAAACUCUCAAUGUGCAAUCAAGAGACAGGUACUCGCUGAUCGACUCAUCAAAUGCCCUGUUUGCUUCAUCUUAAGUUCAAGCUUGACCCUCUAACUCAUCCCCAGCGGAGUCGCCAUUUUGUGGACCCCGCAUUUCGGCUCAAUGCGUUCCCCACUCAAUGGUGCAUGCAGUCUGUUGAGGCUUUGCAAUGAUGGAACCUGAGUGCAUUGUUGGGCAGUCAUCCAUCCUUAUGAAAAGUUCUUAGGAGACUCACCCAAUCCUUGAAGUUGGAUCUGUUCCAUCCCCAGAAAGAAGAAUAUCAACAGUGAAUUAUGGGCACUACGUCCCUUUGACUUGGACGUUGGCCGCCAAUGUUUGAUAUGGAGUCGCGUUUGACUCAAAUGUACACUGACGCUACUUUUGGGCAUUGCCAUCAUGCUAUCCGUGACAUUUUAACUCCUGUCCUUCUUGCAUUAUACGAAUCAAGGAGGAAGAGUAAAUCAAAGUAAAACUCAUCAUAUGGGGCAACGUGAUUUUUAUCCUUCCAGGCUGGCAGAGACUCAACAUGAUACAGGGUUCUAAUCAAAGUUUGCUCUCGUCCAAAUACUCAAUCCUGUAAACAUCCAUGGGAUCAGUAAUGGAGAUAAGAGAAGGUCAGGAAUGCAAAUGAAAGAGAAUCAUCAUUGAAGUAUUGGGUUGAAUAAUGGGGUUAUCAUGGGAUCAAGAGGCUUAUGGCUUGGUGACAAUAGUUGACAUGGACAAAUGAGGAGAUAUGAAAGGCCAGAUUUGAGAGAUGAAGUCCACGUUUCUAUCAAGGAUUAUUUUAAUUGAUUCCAUCAAGGGCUCUCACAUGUGAGAUAGAGAUGGCAAUAGUAACAAGCACAACGAUGUCAAUGGCAUGAUUUCUGAGGCUAGUAUCAUAGGCGGCAUCCACCAGGCCAUUUUGAUCCAUAAGAAAGGUAGCAAAGUGCAUCGGGGCUUCCUCUUCGUUUUGGGUGGAAUGGUGAUCUUUGUGUUCCUCAACGACAUCCAUGGAGUGGAGUAGAUUGUUUAUUUGACAGUAGCAAUUGCAAAUGGGUCAUUAAUGGACUUGGUUUUGAUUACCAGGGCUUGAGAGGUUUCUUACCGAAUGAUAUAUCCCAAUCGCGCCAUCUACAUGCAACACGUCAGAAUGAUUCUUCUGUGGAUGGGAGCUAUUCAUGUCCUCUGGUGUUUGAGAAACUGCCAGACGUAAACCAGGAAGGGUCCCAGUGGACAGAUUGUGAAAUUCGAGAGACCAUCAACGUGAUUUAUCAUGUAUAAACUGGAUUCUUACCUAAGUAUCCUUGUUUCCGAACAUCGUAAACCGCGGAAAUUAACUUUGUACUGGAUUCCCUAUACAUGUGGGGCAGCGGGCUCAUCAGUUUGCUCAGUAUGGCUCCUAUGUCAUGGUAGUUUGAUGGGAAGUAAUGACAUAAAAAAUUGGGUUCGUGAAGCUAAGGACUCAACCAUUACCUUCUGGAAUAAUCAUGUAGAGCAAUCGAUUCCGUCCAUUAGAGAUGAAUUCUUUCAGGCAAUCAGGAGCAACACCUAUGAUGCCAUCAGCUGUUCUAACAAGCUCUGCAGCACCACUGAUCCUUAUAGUGCAGUCCCUCCACCCUGAGCUUAGAGGGAAGUGUUUUUGCAUGGCCACCUUGGGCAUGCAGCUCUUGACCAUGUGCCAUUUCCUUCUAUUCUCUCAUCCCCUGUUUUCUUGAAAAUAAUCUUCUUAAAUCCCAUUUUCAAUAAAAUUUGGUUGCCAUUUUCCUUCCGGCAAGCCACUUGUGCAUUUUCUUUGUUUUUAAAAUGUUUUAAAAAUAAGUAAGAAUUAAAUUCCGUAAUUCCAAGUGAUGGAAUUUAUGGAAUUGAUUCAUGCAAAAAUGAAUUGGGUCUUGGUGGGGGCCCUACAUAUGAGAUUCCAUGAUUGAUUGAUUUAUUUGUCAUGCAUGAUUGAUUUACUCUAUUCCUUGAUAUGCGCUUAAUUAUAUAUGUUCAUUGUUCACUAACCAUGUUUCAUGAUAGCGCAUUCGUGAUUGCCGCCCAGGUACGCAUCUAUUCAUAUUUUGCUCAUUCUUUAUACAUGCUUUGUCUCUCAUAUGUGCAUGAUUGAUUCGAGUAUUCAUUGAUUUUCUCAUUGAUUGUCAUGUCAGCUUCAUCUCAUUAGUAGAGACCCGACUUUAGGGACUUAGAGGGGUGCUACGGUCCAUACCGUACCUUCCCAAUAAGUAACCUGACCCCUGAACCCGAUCCGAUUUUUCACAGACCACCUUUUCCAAAAUAAGGAGUCACACUUAGGGUUUUUCUUUCUUAUUUUGUUUACCCUUUAAAAAUAAAACAAAAAUAAGUGGCGACUCCAAGUCAUUUUCAAAUAAUCAAUAAAAAUCAUUUUUCAAAUAAAAAUCGAGCUCGUCAUCGAGUGGGAAACGCAUUGAGCCGAAAUGCGGGGUCCACAAAGUGAUCUUGAAAAUUAUAAGUUAAUUAUGUUUACUUGAAUAAGAGAUUUGAAUAAUCUUGUAAAAAGAUGAUGUUUGUCGUUUAAGUGGAAGGUUGAUUUAGAAAUUAUCAUACAGGGAAAUGGAAAAAAAUACUAUUAUUUUGGUACAAGACCAUAUUAUUCAGUGGUGUCUCUAGAAAGUUCCAUUAGAUGCUAUUAAACAAUUAAUUUGGUGUCUCACUUGCAUAAUUUUGAGUUAUUGGAUUUUGGGUUUUGCAGACUCUAAUCUCCGGAGGUAACGACACAACUGUUGUCUCUCUGACAUGGGCACUCUCUCUUGUACUAAACAACCAUGACACCUUAAAAAAAGCUCAACAAGAAUUAGACAUCCAAGUUGGGAAGGAAAGAUUAGUGAAUGAACAAGAUAUAGGUAAGUUGGUCUAUCUCCAAGCCAUUGUUAAAGAGACAUUACGGUUAUAUCCAUCAGGACCACUUGGAGGACUACGCCAAUUUACCGAGGAUUGCACCUUAGGUGGAUACCAUGUCUCUAAAGGCACCCGUUUAAUAAUGAACCUUUCGAAGAUCCAAAAGGAUCCAAGAAUUUGGUCAAAUCCAACAGAAUUCCAACCAGAGAGGUUUCUCACCACCCAUAAAGAUGUUGAUCCUUGGGGAAAACAUUUUGAAUUUAUACCAUUUGGAGCUAGUCGAAGAGUAUGUCCAGGAAUAACUUUUGGUCUUCAAAUAUUACAUUUAACAUUAGCUAGUUUCUUACAUGCGUUUGAAUUUUCAACUCCAUCAAAUGAAUAGGUCGAUAUGCGCGAGAGCCUUGGACUUACAAACAUGAAAUCUACCCCACUUGAAGUUCUCAUUUCUCCACGCUUAUCUUCUUGUAGUCUUUACAAUUAAAACAUUGAAACGAAUAGGUCAAGUCGGUCUUGCUAGUCUUGGUUUAAAGACAUAUGGAGUUAGGUUCAAUCAAUCUAUGACAAGAUUUGGGAUUGUAUUAAAAGUAGGUUGGACUAAGAAUGAUGUAUAAUAAACUAAAGUACUAUUUAUGUCAAUAAAGUAUAGCUUUAUAUAUUAUUUGGUUAUCCUUGCUCUCCGUCUAGGCUCUCAUGGGUGCAAGGCCUACCCAUGAGGCCCUUUUCUCCAAAUUUGAGUCAAGUGGCUAAGGGGCUUACAACUAGCUUCUUUGCCAUAGACAAAUUUUCUUUUGUUUAUAUGUUUUAAUUGAUGCAUAUUCACUUUCUUCUUUUCUUAAUUAAAUUGCAAUAAUUAAACAUACAAUUUAAAUAAAUUUUAAAUUUUAUUUUUAACUAAAAACAAAAGUAUACAGAUACAAAUAUAUACUGCUUAAGUAAUUAAUUUUUAAAAAUUAUCCUUUGAGAACAUCUCAGACAAACUGAGACAUGCUUCCAGAGAAAUCUAAAUGUAAUGUUUUUAAAAGCUACUUUGUAAUUUUAUUUUCGAGCAUGUUGCAUAAUAUAUACUUUCCUUGAAUUGAUUUUCCAAACUAUAUUUUUAUUAGCAAUAAGGGUUAUCUACGUUUUGGAAAUUAUAAGUUAAUUAUGUUCACUUGAAUAAGAGAUUUGAACAAUCUUGUAAAAAGAUGAUAUAUAUAUAUAUAUAUAUAUAUAUAUAUAUAUAUAUAUAUAUAUAUAUAUAUAUAUAUAUAUAUAUAUAUAUAUAUAUAUAUCGUAUGGCUGAUUUGGAAAUUAUCCAAAAUGGAAAAAAAUACUAUUAUUUUGGUACAAGACCAUAUUGUUCAAUAGUGUCUCUAGAGAGUUCCAUUAGAUGCUAUCAAACAAAUAAUUUGGUGUCUCACUUGCAUAAUUUUGAAUUGUUCGAUUUUGGGUUUUGCAGGCUCUAAUUGUCGGAGGUAACAAUACAACUGUUGUCUCUUUAACAUGGGCACUCUCUCUUUUACUAAACGUACAACCACGACAUCUUAAAAAAGGCUCAAGAAGAAUUAGAUAUCCAAGUUAGCAGGGAAAGAUUAAUGAAUGAACAAGAUAUAAGUAAGUUGGUCUAUUUUCAAGCCAUUGUUAAAGAGACAUUACGGUUAUAUCCACCAAGACUACUUGGUGGACUAUGCCAAUUUACUAAGGAUUGCACCUUGGGUGGAUACCAUGUCUCUAAAGGCACCCGUUUAAUAAUGAACCUUUCAAAGAUCUAAAAGGAUCCAAGAAUUUGGUCAGAUCCAAUAGAAUUCCAACCAGAGAGGUUUCUCAUCACCCAUAAGAAUGUUGAUGAUUGGGGAAAACAUUUUGAAUUUAUUUCAUUUGGAGCUGGUCGAAGAGCAUGUUUAGGAAUUGCUUUUGGUCUUCAAAUAUUAUAUUUAACAUUAGCUAGUUUCUUACAUGCAUUUGACUUUUCAACUCCAUCAAAUGAACAUGUUGACAUGCAAGAGGCCUUAGACUUACAAAUAUGAAAUCUACCUCACUUGAAGUUCUCAUUUCUCCGGACUUAUUUUCUUGUAGUCUUUACAACUAAAACAUUGAAAUGAAGAGGUCAAAGUCGACCUAGCUAGUCUUGGUUUAAAGACAUAUAGAGUUAGAUUCAAUCAAUCUAUGAUAAGAUUUGGGACUGUAUUAAACAUAGGUUGGACUAAAAAUGAUGUACAAUAAACUAAUUAAAGUAUUGUCCAUGCCAAUAAAGUAUAACAUUAUAUAUUAUUUGGUUAGCCUUAAGGAAUGUAGCAUCAUAAUUAUUUCUUUGUUUUGUCUAAUUUAUCACCAUUUUUUCCCCUUCUCUUCUUCCCUUCUCUUCAUUAGAACAAAUAAUAUAUAGUCUUUUUAUUUUUAAAAAUCAAAUUCGAUUCCCAGUUAUAUAAGAAUUUUACUUUUACUUUAUAAUAAACUUUACUUUAAUCUUAAUAACUUUGACCAUGAUCUCCAUCAUUGAUUAAAUAUAGGGAUAAUUUCAAUCAUUUUUUCUAAGAUUGGAGUUAAAUUUACCCAUCCAUUAUUAAUUUGAAAUUUUAUUAAAUAUUUUUUUUUUCCUUUUUUUUUACAUGUAUAUCUUUUAAUUUAAAAUAAUAGUUGUCCGAUAUAUUUAUAUGAAAUUAUUUUCGAAGAGGUGAAUGAAACUAAACUUUUUUUUAAAUAUAAAAUCAUAAAAAUUUAAUAUACGCCAGCACGAUCCGGUCUAAAUAUUAUAUAUAAUUUGUGUCAUUUCAAAAAAUCAUAGAAGAUCCUUUUGGCAAGGUGGCCCCUUUGAGUAGGAAUUCUCUAAUUGGUCACUACAUAUUACAUAAUUUCAAAGAUUAUGGAGGAUCAUUUACCAAUCAUUAUCAGAAGAAGUGCUGAUUCCUGUAUAAAACUAACCAAUACGAUAUUUAGCACAUGCAAACAGAUUUGGAAGGAUCUGAAAGUCAAGCCUACGGGCCAUCCCUUUACGGCUUGUUCGAAAAAGCACAAAUUGAUGGGGUGCCACUUGCCAGCAGUCUGUUUCAAUAUCUAAAUGUUACCCAGUGGGAUUGCUUGAUAUACUUUUUGUCUCCUAGCUACCAUCUAUUAUUAUGGAGCUCCAGAGCUGGUAAGAUAAGAAUACACCCAAAAGCUGCUGGUGCAUGGCCAAUAAUCGGUCACCUCCUCUUAGGGUCACAACUUCCUGGGAUUUUUUUUUAUAAAAUUACGGUAAAUUUAAAAUUAAUUUUUUAAAAUGCGGCAUAUUGAAAAUAUGCUUGAAUAAUAAUAAUAAAAUGACAAAUAAUAAAAAGGAAAGAAAGUUGUCUUGUGGCUAUAAGAAAGAAUAAUAUAAAAGAGAGAGAUGAGGAGAGGCGGAUAGAGAGAAGAGUAGGCCGAAAAAAAAAAAAAAAAAGAGGAGAACGGGGAGGUGCUGCAAAUCUUUGGGCGUUCGAUCGUAUGACGAGCAAAACGACUUAUGUUUUGCAUGAAAGUUAAGGAGAAAAUUUUCUUUGAGGCGAGGAACAUUCCUUCAAAGUUCGAUUUUAGUUUCAAUGAUUGGAUUUUUUUAUUUGUGGUAAGAUAGUUUAAUCCUACAACUUUUGUUUAAUAUUUUGUUCUUGAAAAAAUAUUAUGAAUUUUUUUAGUGGAAGAUAAAUAUGUGUUAUUUGUGUUUUCUUUAUGUUAUUUGAAGUAUGAUUAUUCUUAAGGUUAUUAUUAUUAUUAUUGUUUUAUGAUUUACAUAUUAUUAUGAUUUUAUUUUUAAAAUUUUUAUGUUUGCAAUGAUUUAAUUGAAGAAAAACUGUUGUGUUGAUUGUUGAAAAUUAUUUAGUAUGUUGGGAAUAAAUAAAAUUUAUAUGAUUAGGGUUGAGACUAUGUUUUGAUGAUAUGUAAAUUAUUGUGAAUAUAUAUAUAUUUUAUAUUUGUAGUGAUUUAAUUGAAGAAAAAUUGUUGUGUUGUAAUUGGAAUUAUUGAUCAUGUUUGGAGUAAAUAAAAAUUAUGUCCUAGAAAAUUAUGCAUAAUAACAUGCAAGUUUAUUAUAUUUCAUAUGCAUCAUGGUUAUGUGAAAAAAAAAAUUGAUGAAAGAUUUUAUAAAAUGAAAAAGGAAAAAGAAAAUAAUGAUGAAAAGUAAAAACCUGUGAAAGAUAAAUCAAGAAGGAAAUGAGAUUUCUAGUGUAAAAAAUACAAAAAUUUAUCCCGUGAGUGUAUUUGAUAUAGAUGCAUAUCAUUAAGUGAAAACCCAAAAACAAUAGUUGAAUGUAAGCAUUUGCACCAUGUUUUCAUUUGGAAGAAGGACAUGUAUUAAAUACUUGAAUGACAUCAAUGGUAUGUUUAAAUAUAUUAUUAGAGAUUGAAAUAAUUUAUUUAUUUUGUAAGUUUAGAAUUAUUGGAUAAACCGCUAUUGACGAUUGGACCGAUGAAUGGGGCGGUUUUUCAUGAACUGCAUGGCUAAAUUCCAGCUCCAGUCUUCCUCCCAUUUUUCCUUUCAUCCAAAUAGUCCAACCUCCCCCUCCUCUUUUUCAUAGGGUCCAAGUGAAAGCCCAAUAAGCCCAGCCUUACAUUUUAAUGGCUUUUUGGCAAAACCUAAACCCAUUUAAACCCAUGGGUGGUACCUUUUUGGCAUGUACUAAUUUGAGUUAUAUGAAUUUUUGUAAUUUAAAUUAUAAUUUGUUAUUUUGUAAAAUAUUUUUUACUUAGAUUUAUGUAGAUAUUUGGGUUAAUUUGGGAUUAUAUAUUGAUCUAUUCAACUGAAAUCAUUGACCGUCAAAUUGGAUAGGAAUAACAUUUAAGGUCAACCCUUUGACCUGAUAUCACUAAUCGGAUUCUGAGUUGCCUUGAAUAGGGUGUGACUAUAAUGGAUUUUCUUCUCCAAUGCCUAAACCCUGUCAUGGUUGGAGCGUUUGCAAUACUCGUCCUCUCAUACCACCUGUUAUUAUGGAGGACUGGAGCUGGUAAGAGCAGAAUGGCACCUGAAGCUUCUGGUGCAUGGCCCAUAAUAGGUCACCUGCACCUGUUAGGUGGAUCUAAGAAUUUGCCUCACUUACUUUUUGGAACCAUGGCCGACAAGUAUGGACCAGUAUUCAGCAUCCGGCUGGGAUUAAAAAGAGCUGUGGUGGUGAAUAGUUGGGAGAUGGCCAAGGAAUGCUUCACCACCCAUGACCUGGCUCUGGCCUCCCGUCCUGAGGUUGAGGCCGCCAAAUAUUUGGGAUAUAACUAUGCCAUGUUUGCUUUCUCUCCUCACGGUGCAUACUGGCGUGAAGUGCGUAAGAUAGCUACUCUAGAGCUACUCUCGAAUCGCCGGCUAGAAUUGCUGAAGAAUGUCCGAAUCUCAGAGGUGGAGACAUGCAUGAAGGAACUAUACAAGCUUUGGGCAGAGAAGAAAAACGAAGCGGGCGUUGUUUUGGUGGACAUGAAGGAAUGGUUUGGGCACUUGACUCUGAACGUGAUUCUUAUGAUGGUUGCUGGAAAACGAUAUUUCGGUUAUACAGGCGAAAGUAAAGAGAAAGAGGCCCAGCAGUGCCGGAAAGCGAUUAGGGAAUUCUUUCGUUUGUGGGGACUCUUUGUGGUGUCAGAUGCCAUUCCUUUUUUUGGAUGGCUUGACGUGGGUGGACAUCUGAAAGCCAUGAAGAAGACUGCAAAAGAACUGGACGGUAUUGCUCAGGAAUGGUUAGAGGAACACCGGCAGCGAAAAGAUUCUGGUGAAGCUGAUGGUAACCAGGACUUCAUGGACGUGACGCUGUCCAUUCUGGGUGGUAGAGACAUUACUGAUUAUGAUGCUGAUACCAUCAACAAAGCUACAGCCCUGGUAUGCACAUUAUUCCUUUAGCAUCUUUAUAUGGUAGUAAAAAAUGAGACAUAAUUUCAUGCUUUAUCAUCUUUAGUCCAGACUCAAGAGUACUUGGGCCUGGGUUGGAAGAACUUAUUUUUGCUUUGUUUCAAGUCGAAACUAAUCAAAAGCAGCGAUUUUUAAAAGGUAAUUAUAAUAAUGGUAUUAUAAAAGUUCAAACAUAAAAUAACUUUUUGCAUAAAUCAAAAUAGAAUUUUUAUAUAUACAUAUAAAAUGUUUUUCUGAUCUUCAUAUUAAUUUUUUUAAGUCAUAACUUUUUUGAACAAAAUUAGUCAAACCAUAGAACUCUUGAACUUACAAAAAAGGGCUUUCGAUUUCUUAGAAGUAGAUACAUGUAGAUUAUGAAAGUAUGUUCCUUAGUCCGCAUGGUUUGAGGCCUCUUUGAGUGGGCUUCUAGAGUCGGUUAGACAAUUGGGCCUUUCAAAGGAUUUCCUAAAUUUACAUUUUUUUUAGCCCAACUUGAAUUUUUAUAAAAUGCUAUAUUUAUACGCGAGUUUCAUAUUCAAGCUAAACAUACCCAUUUUGAUUGGAAAAAAAAGGAAAGAAAAUGGGGCCUUUUUUCCACCCUUAAUC
rnacentral:lncRNA from 1 species